UCCGCGAUAGCUCAGUCGGUAGAGCGCCUCCCUGUUAAGGAGGAUGUCCCAGGUUCGAGCCCUGGUCGCGGAGCCA
rnacentral:tRNA from 3 species